rnacentral:tRNA from 1 species
GGGGAUGUGGCUCAGUGGUAGAGUGCUUGUCUACCAUGCACAAGGCCCUGGGUUCAAUUCCCCCUCCCCC